UGUUAGUAGGAUGCGACGUGGAACUUCGUACAAUUUAACAGAGCAGUCUAAGUACCAGUUUCCUAUGUUAUAUCGUCAAUGGGUAAUCUUACAGUUAUGCUGAACAGAAAUAGUUCAAUUUAAUUACAAUCCAAUAGUGAGACAGUUUAUAAUUUGUAUAGUGUGUUUGUUCAUUUUGGGAAUUUUGUUAUUCUGCGAGUUUAAAAAUGAAUUUAAUCCCAUUUCUAAAAAGAAACUUUCCAGUAUAUAUAGGUUUUGUGAUCAUCUGUUUGUUCAUUCAAAGGAUACAUGGUCAGUGUUCACCAAACCAGUUUACAUGUGCCAAUCACAGGUGCAUUCCAAUGACCUGGCAUUGUGAUGAAGAUGAUGACUGUGGAGACAAUUCUGAUGAAAUAAACUGUUAUGUAAGAACCUGUUCAUCAACAGAAAUGAAAUGUGACAACCAAAAAUGUGUUCCUAUCAAAUGGCAAUGUGACAAAGAAAAUGACUGUGGAGACAUGUCUGAUGAAAAUCAAGAUCUUUGUAGCAAUAAAACAUGUGGACCUGAUCAAUUCUCUUGUGAAAUGACUGAGGGAGUUUGUAUACCUGAAACCUGGAGAUGUGAUGGCCAGAAGGACUGCCAAGAUGGUUCUGAUGAAAAAAAAGAUUGUUACCAGAUGACUUGUACAUCACAAGAAUUUACUUGCCAAAAUAAGAAGUGUAUUACUCAACGGUGGAUCUGUGACCAAGAUGAUGACUGUGGAGAUGGCAGCGAUGAACUGAACUGUUCAAAUGUAACCUGCUCUUCAACAGAGUUUAUGUGUGAUAGUAUGAAGUGUAUACCAAAUAAAUGGCACUGUGAUGGUGAGGAAGAUUGUGCAAAUAAUUCUGAUGAGAAGAACUGCUCUUCUGAAGGCUUUCAAUCACCUUGUAACUCUAGACAAUUCAUGUGUGCUAACCAAAAGGAUUGUAUCCUUAUUUCCUGGCACUGUGAUGGUGGUAUUGACUGUCCUGAUAAAUCAGAUGAGACAAAUUGCACCAUCACUUGUCAGCCUGACCAGUUCCAGUGCAAAAAUUAUCAGUGUAUUCCCGGACAUCUUCGAUGUAAUGGGAAAAAGGAAUGUUUUGAUGAAUCUGAUGAGGAAAACUGUCCAGAAACUCAAAAGAUGUGUGACCCAGAGAUUGAAUUUGAUUGUGGCCAGAAUCGCUGUAUUCCCAUAUAUUUGAUCUGUAAUAAAAAAAAUGAUUGUGGAAACUGGGAAGAUGAACCUAUUCACUUGUGCAAUAAGAAUGAAUGUGAAGAGAAUAAUGGAGGAUGUUCUCAGAACUGUGUUAACAUGGUUGCUGGUUUUCAGUGUUCCUGUUUUGAAGGCUAUGAACUUGUAGACAAUAAAACAUGCAAAGAUAUCAAUGAAUGUGAGAUCUUGGGUUUCUGUUCACAAGGAUGUGUCAAUACCAAAGGCAGUUAUAAAUGUGAUUGUAUGAAAGGUUAUUCAUUGGAACCAAAUAAUCAUCACCGCUGUCGAGCCUCAGAAGGACAAGCUGAAUUGCUUUUUAGCAAUAGAAAGGAUAUUCGGAAGAUUGAUAUAGAAAGCUUUGAGUAUAAGUCUGUUGUUAGUGAUCUUCAAAAUGCCAUUGCAAUUGACUUUAUAUUUCACACUAGGACCCUGUUAUGGUCAGAUGUUGCAGAGGGAUGCAUUAAAAGUGCCCCUAUUGAUACAGGUAGACCAGUAACAACAAUUGUAAAGGAGAGUGUUACUACUCCAGAUGGAAUAGCAGUAGACUGGAUUUACAAACACAUUUACUGGACAGAUACAGGAAAGAAUACUAUUGAAGUAACAGAUAUGCAGGGAACCUUGAGGAAAACUCUUAUUUGUGAGGGUCUUGAUGAACCUAGAGCUAUUGUAGUGAAUCCCUUAGAUGGAUGGAUGUUUUGGACUGACUGGGGUACUUCAGCCAAAAUUGAAAGGGCUGGGUUAGAUGGAUCUCAUCGAAAAGGCAUCGUCACUUCUGAUAUACAGUGGCCCAAUGGAUUGGCUAUAGAUUUUCUGUCUAAGAAAAUUUAUUGGGUUGAUGCCAAACUUCAUACACUAGGGAGUGUAGACUACAAUGGUGAUAACCAGCAGAUUGUGUUGUCUUCACCAGUUGUCCUUAGAUAUCCCUUUUCUGUGGAUAUAUUUGAAGACUGGGUAUAUUGGACAGACUGGGAAUCUAAAGCUAUUCACAAGGUUAACAAAUUUACUGGUAAAGAAAAGAGUGAUAUAACUGUUGGUGUUACCCAUCCCAUGGAUCUUCAUGUUUAUCACAAAUAUAAACAACCCAUUGGUGAGAAUCACUGUGGAGUUCAAAAUGGAUAUUGUUCCCAUCUUUGCUUACCAUCACCUAAUCUGACCUCAAUUUCUGCAAAGUUCAGAUGUGUGUGUCCUGAUAACAUGGAGCUUCAGAGUGACCAAAGAACUUGUAUUAUCAAAAAUCCAUCUACUAGAAGCAGUACUAGCACAAAUAGUGUAACCACCUCACAAUCAAGAAACUCUUCUUCUUCUACAAAUAAAGUUUCAACUUCAGGAUCAGUUGUACCUGCUAGCCUAUCAGAACUGACAACAAAACCACAAUUAGUAACCUUAGACCCGUUUCUAGCAGUCACUGGUAAUAGUAGUAGCAAGCACCUGUAUGAAGUCACAUCCUCAGAAGUUGACACUGGUAGAAUAGCUGGCAUUAUUAUUGGGGUUUUAGGAGGGCUAGUGGUCCUCAUUACUCUGAUUAUUAUCCUAGUCUACAAGCAGUAUGUCCACAGAAAUAUACGAAGUAUGAAUUUUAUCAAUCCAGUGUAUGGGAAAACAACAGAAGAUCUACUAAGUUUAGAAAACAAUCAGUAUCAGUCUUCAAGAUCAUACAUUUCAAGUCUGGAGUCACUAACUUCACCAGGUACCAAUGAGUUUGUAUAACUCUUGCUCUGGCUAUUUUGAGCACUGCAGGCAGUUUGAUUAAAGGGAAUCAGUGCUAUUAAUAUGUUUGGAAUAGCUUUGAAUUUAUUUAAAACAAUAAAAUAUGUAUUUUUUGUUGGAUGUUAUUGAACUUGUGAAUCACACAAUUAAGGGAACAAUAAAAUGUGCAUUAUUUGGGGGAUUAAGUCACAAGAUGGUGAGAACAAUUUAAGGAAGCCUAUAUGACUUAACACAUUGUUACAUGUGACUGAAAGUCAAAUGUUAUGUUCUUUCAGAAAAGUUCCAAACUCUAUAGCACUUGAAAACAAAUUAAGUUAUUACAGCAACAUUGUAGAAGAUAAAACCUGGUUAUUUUGACAGGAAGAAACCAUUGAUGCAGUACAUUGUGGUUAGGUAACUGUCACACACAUAGAGGGAAAUAAGGGAGGUUCAGUCCUUAUUUUGAUGAAAAGUUGGUGUAUUUUGAAUGUGGUUUAUGCACAAAGUAAAUUCUAAAUGAUUGCCAUUUGUUUAUUUUCUUUUUACUAUGAGUGAAAUCUAAAUUGAUUGCACUAUUGGAGGAAAAAUUAUACUACCUUAAGGAUGAAUAUUCUGAGUUCCAUGACAUUUAGACAACUGAUGUUACUGUGUUGUAGUAUAGCUUCUACACCUUGAAGUAUGUGACAUUUUGUAUAGGUUACUGUUGUGUAGCUUAAAAUGGCAGUUUGUGCCAUUUCUUUUUCAGGUUUUUAUUUAUUUUUUUCAUUAAUCCAUAUGGUAUUUUAAAAGUAACAAAAUGUAGCUAAAGGAAUCACUAAUAUUUUUCCAAGAUUAUAGUUAGAAAAACUACAGUGAACAGAAUCUAGAAAGGGAAUUUGCACAAAUAGAUAUGAGCAUAGAAGGUUUAGAUUAAAGAUACAGUAAACUUGAGAGGUAUCUUUUCAUCAGGAUGCUUGAUUGAGAAACUAAUAGUAAAGGAAAUUGAUGUAAAUUUGCCCACAUAGCUGGCAGAUAAAAUUAUUUACAAAGGAGAGAUAUAUUUUUUACAAUGUGAAUAGCUAUGGUUAACUGUUUUAAAUAAAGAAGAUAAAUAUGAUAAAUCACCAGAUAUAAUAAUUUGAUUCCCAAUGUUUUUCCAUAUCAGUUUUAUCAAGUUUUAUCACCUAACAAAACCUAAAUUGAAAAAUUACAGUAAGUAAAAGAUCAUUUUAAAUAAUACAACAGUUCAAUGUUUUUGUCACAGUGUGAUAAAAUUAAUAAAGCUGAUACAGGAAAAUUUUGGAACAAAAUUGUUUUAUCAGUUGAUCUGUAAUGCUUAUUAACAUUUUAUAAUGUCUACCAUUUUGUAGCUUGCAUUGAAAGAUAAUCAUGUUGAAUAUUGUAUUAUUGUUAUUAUUACUGUUCGUAAAUAUUUUAUGGCUGGAUCAUUCAGAAUAACAAUGUUGGUGUGUCAACAACACUACUGAAUUUGAAACUAGUUACCAUAUAUAAAAAGCAAAAACAGUAAAUAAGGUUUUUAUUUUUGUUGGGUGUAUUUUUUUUACUUUAUCUUAUUUAUGUUGAUACAUCUAUAAAAUUUCAUUACUUGUAAGAAAAAUAAUAUAAAUUUAUUCGUAUUAAUUGUCCUUUUAUAGUUUUGUUUAUUAUAUUUGUUUGUUUUUAUUAGCAUGUUUUAGUUUAGUAUGUCCUGGUUUAGUAUUUCUCCAUGUGAAUAAUUAGUCUUAGUUUCAUUAUUAUUAUUUUAUUUAUGGUAUAUUUUUGUAAGCCAAGAAUGUUUAAACCGGGGUGGCUAGCCCAGUCGUAGGACGACCAUGUUCAGUGACAGGGAUUCAAACUCGCCACUGUGAGAUUGAGAGUCCAGUGCCGUAAAAAAUUCACAAUAAAAUACUUCAUAAUUUUGACGUUUACAUUUGUAAAGAAAUAUUAUCAGUCCAUCAAGCUUCCCCACAAUGUGUUAAAUGUUUGAUUUUAAUCUCUUUGCAUAAAAUUUAUAUAGUUAGAAACUAUAAAAGAUUUUACUACUGCUAGGAAAGUAACUGAAAUGGAAAAGAAACUCGUUAAUUUCUUUAUUACAUAAUUUCAUGUAAACUGGUGAAAUUUAACUUCUGACAAAUUUUUAACUAAGUAAAAUAUCCUUUAGAAAUUACAGUUCGAAAAUUAUAAAACAUGGGUAAAAGUAUCUCCUCAUUUUCUUUGUAUAUAAUUUUGCUACUGAGGUGUUUACAUGAAUUGUUUAAUGAUGUUUUUCACACCAAUCUGAAAUUUGAAGAAAGACGUAUAAGCUGAAUUUUUAAAUAUAUUUACAUUUAUAUAAUUUUUCAAGGUUGUGAACUAGAGUUGAUUACAUGAAUGACAAAUCUCUUAGAAAAAAUGGAAUGCUUAUUGCAUGAUUUCAUCUGACUUCAGUAUACUGUUGAAGAGUAAAAUAUUUCACGUUGCUUCACCUAGUUUUCUAAGUACCAUAGGAAAAAAAGGGAAAUUUGAAAUUUUGUUUUAGCAAUUUGUUUGGCUUAUAAUUAUGUAUAUAAAAGGGAUUUCCAGGGAGAAAGUUAAUGUAUGAUAUGAUUAGACUACAAUAUCAUUGGAAUUUAUAUACACGUUAUCAUAACAUUUGAGCAGAAAUUAUGUACGUUAUGUUUCAUUUGUCAAGGAGUGUGUGCUAAAGUUUAUUAUUAUGUACGUUAUGUUUCAUUCAUCAAGGAGUGUGUACUAAAAGUUAUUAUUAUGUACGUUAUGUUUCAUUCGUCAAGGAGUGUGUACUAAAGUUUAUUAUUAUGUACGUUAUGUUUCAU
rnacentral:misc_RNA from 1 species